AAAAGCAUUAAGUUUACAAAGUACUGCAUCUAGUCCUGUUGCUGAGAUUAACACUCAUGUUGAAGAGCAAUUGGAAGAUAAUCGUACUGGAAGUACUCUUUCAUCAAUUUCAAACAUUUCAUCAGGGUUAGAAGAUUUUAGUGAAGAACUGGCAGCACAAACCAGUAGUUUAUCUGGAUUAAGUUUAGGAACAGUAUUGCCAGUGGUCAAUGAUGCAUUUGCUUUACUAAAUCAAUCACCUAUU